UACGUAGGGUGCAGGCGUUAAUCGGAAUUACUGGGCGUAAAGCGUGCGCAGGCGGUCUUUUAAGUCAGAUGUGAAAUCCCCCGGGCUUAACCUGGGAACUGCGUUUGAAACUGGAAGGCUUGAGUGUGGCAGAGGGGGGUGGAAUUCCGACGUGUAGCAGUGGAAAUGCGUAGAGAUGUGGAGGAACACCGAUGGCGAAGGCAGCCCCCUGGGCUAACACUGGACGCCUCG
rnacentral:rRNA from 1 species